UACGAAGGGGCGAGCGUUGUUCGGAAUUACUGGGCGUAAAGGGCGCGUAGGCGGCGAUCCGAGUCCAGAUGUGAAAGUCCUGGGCUUAACCUGGGGACUGCAUUUGAUACUGGAUUGCUUGAAUGCAGGAGAGGAUAGCGGAAUUCCCAGUGUAGAGGUGAAAUUCGUAGAUAUUGGGAAGAACACCGGUGGCGAAGGCGGCUAUCUGGACUGUGAUUGACGCUGAGGCGCGAAAGCCGUGGGGAGCAAACAGG
rnacentral:rRNA from 1 species